rnacentral:rRNA from 1 species
GACGAACGCUGGCGGCGUGCUUAACACAUGCAAGUCGAACGGAAAGGCCCUGCUUUUGUGGGGUGCUCGAGUGGCGAACGGGUGAGUAACACGUGAGUAACCUGCCCUUGACUUUGGUAUAACUUCAGGAAACUGGGGCUAAUACCGGAUAGGAGCUCCUGCUGCAUGGUGGGGGUUGGAACGUUUCGGCGGUUGGGGAUGGACUCGCGGCUUAUCAGCUUGUUGGUGGGGUAGUGGCUUACCAAGGCUUUGACGGGUAGCCGGCCUGAGAGGGUGACCGGCCACAUUGGGACUGAGAUACGGCCCAGACUCCUACGGAAGGCAGCAGUGGGGAAUAUUGCACAAUGGGCGGAAGCCUGAUGCAGAAACGCCGCGGGCGGGAUGACGGCCUGCGGGUUGUAAACCGCUUUCGCCUGUGACGAAGCGUGAGUGACGGUAAUGGGUAAAGAAGCACCGGCUAACUACGUG